AUUCCUGAAACCAGAGUGUUAC
rnacentral:snRNA from 1 species